rnacentral:rRNA from 1 species
AUACGUAGGGAGCGGGCGUUGUCCGGAAUUACUGGGCGUAAAGGGCGCGUAGGCGGCGCUUCAAGUCGUCUGUCAAAUGGAAGGGCUUAACCCUUUUUCGCAGACGAAACUGGAGAGCUUGAGAAGCAGAGAGGCAAACAGAAUUCCUAGUGUAGCGGUGAAAUGCGUAAAUAUUAGGAGGAACACCAGUGGCGAAGGCGACUUCCUGGACGAAACCUGCCGUGGAGGCUCGAAACCGGGGGGAGCAACAGGAUUAGAUACCCUGGUAGUCCGCACCGUAAACGAUGCAUACUGGGUGUCCGGGGGUUCCCCCGGGUACCGUAGCCAACGCGUUAAGUAUGCCGCCUGGGGAGUACGUACGCAAGUAUGAAACUUAAAGGAAUUGACGGG